rnacentral:rRNA from 1 species
UAGGGAAUCUUCCGCAAUGGGCGAAAGCCUGAUGGAGCAACGCCGCGUGUGUGAUGAAGGGUUUCGGCUCGUAAAACACUGUUGUAAGAGAAGAAUGACAUUGAGAGCAACUGUUCAAUGUGUGACGGUAUCUUACCAGAAAGGAACGGCUAAAUACGUGCCAG